GGACGGGUGGCUCACCCGGAGCGCGGGCAGGCGGCUGAUGCUCGGCUCGAGGGUGUGGAUGGAGUUGGAGGCGGCACACAGUGAGGUCAGAUAAUACAUCUGCCUCCUCCAUUAUUUGCUGAACCUGGCAAUAAUUUGCUGAACCACAGACAAAUGUCUUGAUUUAUGAAGGGCAGAUAAAUGAAGCAGGCCUCAAGUCAACCUCUGCUGGAACAGGAAUGAAUCCCCAGUGGCUAAACAGAGCUUCAGCCUGAAACGAGAAUAAAUGAAAUACGCAGCCUCAACAGCCCUCCAGGAUUAAAAAAAUUCCCCAGAUGCACCACCCCACAAGAGAAGCAAUUCCUCCUCAUCUCUGUCUUAGAUGGCAAGUUUACAGAGGUGAAUUACUGACCACAUUGGCCAGGAAAUUACUAAGCAAGCCAGGGAUGGAAAUUCCUGAGAGGUUUAAUGAGAGAUCAUCAGGUCACAAAUUUCAAAUUAAGGUUUAGAACAGAUGCUGCUGCAAUCCUGGAAAGGUAAAUCUCAAUCACCGACAUGAAGUUUUGAUUAUUUUGAGCUUUUGCUGAUAAUUUACCUCUUUGCACAGGCCAUGGAGCAGAAUCGCUUUGAUCCCUUAAACUUAUGAGCAUAAUCAAGCCUUCCGCAAAAUUCACACUUCAGUUUGAGAGCAUCCUCUUCCUUUUCCUUUGAGUCUGAACAAAAGGUCAAGAAUGAUCGUGGAAAAAGAUGCAAAACAAACACUGUUGUGAGGAUGUGUUAUCUGAAAUAUUAACAGAAUAAGUCAUGGACUGCACACACAUCUCUAUUCCUCAGACCUUUUGGAAGCAACACUCUACCAGUAGGAAAAAGAUGUGGCAUUUGCAAAGAACACAAAGUGCUCAUCUGGAGUCAAUAAGUCCACUGUACUUUGAGAGAAAGUAUGUGACAGUUUGUUGGCAUAACAAAGCUAUGAGUUUAAACACUGAAAGUCAGUCAGACAGACAGACAGCAAGACAACUUCCCUCAGGAGAAAGACUUCUCCCCACUCCUGGAAAUCCCUCUCAAAGCACGUGAAUGGAAAGUUGAACAGAAGAUCUCAUCACAAGCGGAGGAACCAUAAAAGGAGAAUUUGAAAUCUACACGUCUCCAGAAAAGUAACUUCAGCCAGCUGUAACUUAACCGGGAUAAACACCCCAGUGCCAUGAGCUUGAGUGCAAAGUGACUUUGUCCUCAAUGUUGGUCUGUAGCCAGACUGUGAAUAAUUCUGUGUUUCAGGCUGUAGCCUUGCUCGCUGAGCCAGUGUGUUUGACUGCAGGCGUUUGGUCACCCUGCCAGGUAACAUCGUCAGAGCAUCUCCAACAUAGUGUUGGUGUUCUAUCCCACUUGUUAUUUACGUGCCUCGGUUCCCCGGGGUGGUUGGCAUCACUGCCGGUUCUACUUAUCAGCGGUUUAUAUAUUGGGUCCAGUUCAACAUGUUUUUGAUGGAGUUCCGGUUGGAAUA